GAACUUGUAUUGCACUAAAGAGAGAUUUACAAUGCUUGAGUUGCUUGUAGUUGUUUUGUGAUGCUUGGAGGAUUGUUGGAUUGUUGUUGGAUGAUUUACAAAUGAGAAGUGCUAGCCUAUUUAUACUUGCUAGCCUUCCAAAUCAAUGGCUAGGAUGCAUUCUAAUGGAUGGCUAGGAUUAAUUCUCUAGAGAAUUCUACAACUAUCUAGCUAUAGAAUAUGCAAGACAAGUCUAGAGUCUUCCAUGUGUGGAGUGUUCUAGACUUGUGUAGAGAAUGCUAGAGAAAUCUAGAGAAAUGUAGAGAAAGUUGCCAUGCGUGCGCCAUGUCAAUGCUUGCGUGUCGCCCAGUCAUCGCUUGCAUGGCAUAACCUCUUACAAAUGUGGCCAUUUCGAUGCAUGACCACUUGCAAAUAUGGCCGGUCCGUCACAUC
rnacentral:lncRNA from 1 species